rnacentral:lncRNA from 1 species
AUUAAAAUCUAUGUCGGUCAGAACCGACGUAGGCUUUAAAAUAUUUAAAAACAGUAAUUAGUGUCGCCUAGAAGUGACAUCUAUACCCACACCAGUAUUUAAAAAUUAUUAAAAUAAAUGUCGGUUUUAAGCGACAUUAAUUGUUUACAUCGGUUAAGAGCGACAUAGACAGUUUAUGACACUUACAACCGACAAUAAAUCUGACUUCAUAUUUAGUAGGUGUCACAAAUGUCUUAUCUGCCACUAUAUUAUAUUAAAGCGACAUCAUCCAGUGACACAAUAAGUCCAUUUUGUAGUAGUGCAUUCUCACUCACUCUAAAUCUUGCCAAAAGGUAUAUUCUACCCAAAUAUUAAUUUUUUUUUUCAUUAAUAUGUGUUUUUGGAGUUAAUUUUGAGUUUGGUUUAGGGCUUCGGGACAAGUAUAGGGAGAUGGGUGGAGUUUGGGGUUGGAUUUGGGGUCUAUCAAUUUUAGGGGAGAUUAUGCUAAUUUUUUGGUACUAUUUUAUAUUGUUUUUCGGUUAUUUGACCAUGUUUUUUUGUUGUAGGGAAUUGUAGAGACUUUGAUGGGUAAAGUUGAGGAUUAAGACGCUAUCGAACCAUAUCUGUAACGACCCAAAAUUCUUAUUUGGAAGCUAAAUCCGGUGAUAGGCCAACAUAAAGUCAUGGUUAAUCUCUACACUAUUAACCAUAAUAAAUUUCUUUCCUUAAAAAAAAAGUCAAACACAAUAUUAAAUUCGGGUUAUUUUAUGGAUGCAUCUAACCUUCUCAUUAGACUGCCUACGUACGCUACGAAGGGAUGCCAUUCGUAGUUCACCGCUUAAACAUGUUGAGUAUAACAAACAAAAACAGCAUUAAUUAAGCCAUCAAACACAUACCAUCAUCAUAUGUUACAUUUCCUUCCAAACUACAGCAAAUCACCUUUUGUACACUUCACCGAAUGUUCCACCACAUAGCUGCUUCUUAAACAUCCCAUCUUGAAAACUAAAUGACUAAACCAAGAUGCUAGAUAAAUUAAUAAAUGAUGGUACAAAUAUAAUGGAAAAGGGACCAUUUGAAAGAGCACUGACUACAUUGUGCAAUCUUAUCCGAAGGUUUCAUAUGUUAUAUAUUUAUAUAUAGAGAGAGGGAGAGAGGCCAUAUAUACUUCUAAUGGAAUGCUUUUGGUUAAUUAUACUUUAGCAAAGUGCCAUACCCUAAAGCCGAUCAUCUCAAUCUCGGAGGAAACUAACUCUGCUACAUCUUUCUCAAACCAUUUAAUCGAGUUUAUGACAUGAGCAGAUUAUCAAUUUGAUCCAAAAGGAACUAUAAAUGGGUAUCAAAUAAAUUGAACCAAUAGUCAUUUCAACUUUUAUACCGAAGUAGUCAAUUCAGCUUUUGUGUAUAUAGCAAACAUAAGACUAGUCUUGAAAAACGGAACUAAUAUAUGACAGGUAAUUUACUCCACCCAAUAAUUGAUGUCAUACAAAAUAUCACUUUCAGGUAUUAUAUCAAAUUAGGGUUUAGGUAUUGGCACAUAAAACUACCUUUUGCAGCAUAUAAGUAUAUUCAUAUAAAAACUUACACAUACAGCAACUGCAUAUAAGACUAUUUCCCAUAGUAGCGUCCAAAUAAAUGACCAUAUAAGGAAUUAAGAGAAUCAAAGAAUAAUUACCAAGGCUUUCCACCCAUUGGAUAAGAACAUACAAAACCAUGUUUAUUUCAUGAUUCAGACCCAUCUUCUUCGACCCUCUUCUUCCUUUUCUCAUCCUUGCCUUCUCUGUCACCCUCUCUCCCUCCUUCAGUUCUAGGUUUCAUGUGUCUCCACUUAUACAACUGGGUGUAGAGUUGAUUUAUACCAUAGGGAGAUGAGGUUAGAAAAUGAAGGGAAGCAAGAUGUGAUGGUGAUCAACGGUGAGAUGAAUUUGGGAGAGGUGAUGGAAAGUGCCAACCUCCUUCCUUAUGCAACCCCCACCUAAAAGGAGAUCGAUAGGGAAGAAAGAGUUCUUCCAAGUUCUCUAGAAUUCUCCCCCUCUCUUCGAAGAGAAAACACAGCAGGAAAAAGAAAGGGCAUGCCCCCCCCCCCCGGGGCUGCAAACCCAAACAUCAAAAAUAUCUUGGACUAAACCAAAUUUACAAAAAUACCUAUAAACUUGUUUAUUAAUUUCUCAUUCAUUACAACUUCGUUUUACGGGGGUUUUCGCCUACAUGCUCAUGGAAUCAUCCUCUAUCCAGAUAUGUCAAGAAAUACGAUAAAAUAUAUGAGGACCAAACUCUAUUCAAUUUUUCAUAACCAUAAAUCGAUUUAUUUUCGAUUUUCUACACAUAUUCAUAAUUAUGAAUAUCUAACUCAUAUAUUUAAAUUUUUAGGGUAUUACAUUCACCCCCGGUUAAAAUAAAUCUCAUCCCCGAGAUUUCAACCAUCGAGUUACGAAAAGAAAUUUAAGGCUAAUUCCACCAUUCCAUUUAUAGCGAAUAAAAUCAUAACCUCAGUCUACGAUUUUAGUCAAGCUCCAAAAAUAAGCAAACCAACGUAUAAUAAUCGUGAUUCUUACCCACAUUCUCAGAUUCCCAACCACAUUCAUUGGCAGAAUAAAUAUAAAAAAUUCUAGCCAUACCCAUUGACAAAAUAAAUAUCCACAUCAACCCACAAUCCUCAUGGCCUAAAAUAAAUACUAGAUUAUCAAACCACAUCCACUAUUGGUUAGAUAAAUACUAACAUAAUAAUCACAAUCAUUGGUAAACCAUUUAUCAUCAUUGGCUAAAGAAAUAUUAGAAAUGCAAGCCAUUAUCAUCCGUUGCUAAAUAAAUAUCACACUCACUGGGUAAUGGAAAGAAAUUUAAAACCAAAUCCGCAAUACCGUUAACAUUGAACGAAAUCAAAAUCUUAUUCUAUGAUUUCAUUCAUAUCCUCACGUGAACCAAAUAACCAAAAACAUUACACGUACCACACAAUUGGGAAAACUUUAUCAGAGUGACACAAUAGCUAGGUUAAAGUUAUUUCCUUCAUUCUUCACCACUAUAUAUUAAACCAAUCAUAGCCUCGGUUUGUGAUUUCAUUCCCAUUCGUAAAAUCAUCGUGACUUUGACAAAUAUUAAAAUUUCCAACCAUAAUUAUCAUUGGUCAUAAGAUUUUAAAAUUUCUAGCCAUAAUUAUCAUUGACAAAACAAUAAUUUCAUCACCCUUUUUCUUUUAUCCCAAUCAGGGACUAGUAGACUGAAAAAGAUUAUAAUAUACCUGGCCAAUACACAACACACAUUUUUAUCACUUCAAUAAUUCAUUAUCACAGCCCACACGUAGAGCUUCUCCUCGAAAACAUUGGGUCUUUGUGCCCACUCAUCCAUUCCUUCACAUUCCACGGGUCAUUUUGCCUAAUUCAUCAUUCACGGGCCACUUUGCCCAAUCAGACAUCCUCGGGCCUUUUUGCCCAAAUCAAUAUCCAUGGGCUCUUUUCGCCCAACCAAACAUUCCUCCCAUUCCACGGGCUAUCAUGUCCAAAUCGACAUCUUAUGGCCUCUUUCGCCCAAUUCAACAUCCACGGGCCUUUUUCACCCAAUUCAACAUCCACGAGCCUUUUU